GGGGAAUAUUGGACAAUGGGGGGAACCCUGAUCCAGCCAUGCCGCGUGUGUGAAGAAGGCCUUUUGGUUGUAAAGCACUUUAAGCGAGGAGGAGGCUCUUCUAGUUAAUACCUAGGAUGAGUGGACGUUACUCGCAGAAUAAGCACCGGCUAACUCUGUGCCAGCAGCCGCGGUAAUACAGAGGGUGCGAGCGUUAAUCGGAUUUACUGGGCGUAAAGCGUACGUAGGCGGCUUUUUAAGUCGGAUGUGAAAGCCCUGAGCUUAACUUAGGAAUUGCAUUCGAUACUGGGAAGCUAGAGUAUGGGAGAGGAUGGUAGAAUUCCAGGUGUAGCGGUGAAAUGCGUAGAGAUCUGGAGGAAUACCGAUGGCGAAGGCAGCCAUCUGGCCUAAUACUGACGCUGAGGUACGAAAGCAUGGGGAGCAAAC
rnacentral:rRNA from 1 species